AGGAAAAUAAAAUAAUUGUAAGAGUGCUCAUAUAUUGAAAACUAUACAUUAGAUUACAAAUAGAAUAGUUUUAAAAUUGCAUUAGUCCAAACGUAAUAAAUUUAUGUCUUUCAAUAUUUAGUUCUGAAAGUAACAUUUUUUUUUUUUACUUUUAAUAAUUAAGAUGAUGUUAAAUUUUUUUAUAACCCUACACCAUGUUACAAAUAGAAGGGGAAAUAAAUUUUGACUAAAAUACAAAACUCCAAAAAAGAUGAAAUAAUUUUAAGAUUAAACUGUUAGCACCACAGUUGUAAAGUGGUAAUCUUUCUACAUCGAUGGUUUAACAAGAAAUGAUUUUUUAUUUGAUUAGUUAAUGUUUCCAACACAGAUAAAAAAAAAUCCACUUAUCUAACUGCAGUGAUGAUGACUUUCUUAACCUUUAGCUCAAUUCAAUGAAAUAAUAAUUGAGAUUUGGAUGGUAGUGGCAACGAAAGCCACUUUCGAAUCAAUAAACAAUGAAGUCACCAACUCAACUAACUGUUAUCUUUUUCUAUUUUAAUGAGAUUGAUUAUACUCAAUACUUAUCUUGAUUUCAUGUCUUUCUUCCACGUUGGAACAUCAUUGUAGACUAAUUAUUAAUUAGUAUAGAAAACAAAGUCUUCAGCUAAGUUCAAUAAUGUAUGCUUGACCCGUUCUACACAAUUUUUUCAACAAUUUUGAUCUUUACUUUGAAAGCAGCUCUAAUGUCAACUAAGAAAUGUACAUAUUUCAUUCUACCCAGUCAAAAGAUAAAAGGUAAAUAAACUUCAAAUGCUUUCUGCUUAUGUAACUCUAUGACUAGUGACAAGUGCACCUUAUUCUGUUCUUUGAUCUUUGUUCUUAUAGUUCAUCAUUCACCAGUUUCAUAAAAUUCAACUAUGUGAGAGGAAUAUAAAAAUGUACAAAAUUCAACAUGUGAUGUUCCCUUACCUGAAUUUCAAGGAUGAGAUUGUGGCCCCGGAAAGCAAAGGCAAUUAUACCUAAGGCAUUAAGCACACCAAAGGCAUUUUCAACACUGUUUUCACCCCUUAUAGGAUCAUAGUUCACACCAUCUAGGGCACCCUCUGCUACAGAGGUAAUCCAAAUGGAGGUACAGUACCCUACAGCAGUGACAGCUCCAAUGAGUGAUAUCCCAGCAAUGGAAUUCAAGUUUGGCAACUGAGAUAGCACCACAGCUGCACAGGUAAACACCAAGUACCAUUCCACAGUGGUCAUGGGUUUGGCAGUGCAUGAAUCACCACACACCACUUCAUAAAAUGUCCUUGCAGUGGAUCCUCCUAUGAUGAUUAGUGUGGUGCAUGUUCCAGCUGAUAGGUACAGUAUUGGGAACAGAGCAAGCAAUUUCCCAACUUUCUCUCCUGCAACAACACAUCAUUCCACACAUUAAGAAGCUGAAACUAUCACUUCAAUUUUUUCUUUAUAUGUACACACUUCCUAACUGAAGCCUAAUAUUAAAAGAGAUUAAUAUAACAAAAAUCUCAUUUAGCUUUCACAGAAGUUCGUUUAGUUAAUUUAUCAGUUAAAAAGUUAUUCAAGUUAGAAUAAUAAUAUGAUGAAACAUAUAGUAUUCGUACCAAAGGUAGCACCAC
rnacentral:lncRNA from 1 species